rnacentral:rRNA from 1 species
GACGAAGGAUGCAAGCGUUAUCCGGAUUCAUUGGGUUUAAAGGGUGCGUAGGCGGACUGAUAAGUCAGUGGUGAAAUCUCUUUGCUUAACAAAGAAACUGCCAUUGAUACUGUCGGUCUAGAGUAUAGAUGACGUUGGCGGAAUAUGACAUGUAGUGGUGAAAUACUUAGAUAUGUCAUAGAACACCGAUUGCGAAGGCAGCUAACGAAACUAUAACUGACGCUGAGGCACGAAAGUGCGGUGAUCAAACAGG